rnacentral:rRNA from 1 species
UACGGGGGGAGCAAGCGUUGUUCGGAUUUACUGGGCGUAAAGGGCGCGUAGGCGGCCUCUGCAAGUCGACUGUGAAAUCUCCGGGCUUAACCCGGAAAGGUCAGCCGAUACUGCAGGGCUAGAGUGCAGAAGGGGCAACUGGAAUUCUCGGUGUAGCGGUGAAAUGCGUAGAUAUCGAGAGGAACACCUGCGGCGAAGGCGGGUUGCUGGGCCGACACUGACGCUGAAGCGCGAAAGCCAGGGGAGCGAACGGG